rnacentral:rRNA from 1 species
AGUGAACGCUGGCGGUAGGCCUAACACAUGCAAGUCGAACGGCAGCACAGUAAGAGCUUGCUCUUACGGGUGGCGAGUGGCGGACGGGUGAGGAAUACAUCGGAAUCUACUUUUUCGUGGGGGAUAACGUAGGGAAACUUACGCUAAUACCGCAUACGACCUACGGGUGAAAGCAGGGGAUCUUCGGACCUUGCGCGAUUGAAUGAGCCGAUGUCGGAUUAGCUAGUUGGCGGGGUAAAGGCCCACCAAGGCGACGAUCCGUAGCUGGUCUGAGAGGAUGAUCAGCCACACUGGAACUGAGACACGGACCAGACUCCUACGGGAGGCAGCAGUGGGGAAUAUUGGACAAUGGGCGAAAGCCUGAACCAGCAAUACCGCGUGGGUGAAGAAGGCCUUCGGGUUGUAAAGCCCUUUUGUUGGGAAAGAAAAGCAGCAGGUUAAUACACCGCUGUUAUGACGGUACCCAAAGAAUAAGCACCGGCUAACUACGUG